GACGAACGCUGGCGGCGUGCUUAACACAUGCAAGUCGAACGGUGAAGCGCCUUCCUUUUUGGUGGGUGUGGAUGAGUGGCGAACGGGUGAGUAACACGUGAGUAACCUGCCCCCUUCUUCUGGAUAACCGCAUGAAAGUGUGGCUAAUACGGGAUAUUCUGGGUCUGUCGCAUGAUGGGUCUGGGAAAGAUAUUGUUUCGGUGGGGGAUGGGCUCGCGGCCUAUCAGCUUGUUGGUGGGGUGAUGGCCUACCAAGGCGGUGACGGGUAGCCGGCCUGAGAGGGUGGACGGUCACACUGGGACGGAGACACGGACCAGACUACUACGGGAGGCAGCAGUGGGGAAUAGUGAACAAUGGGCGGAAGCCUGAUGCAGCGACGCCGCGGGGGGGAUGGAGGCCUGCGGGUUGUGAACCUCUUUCGCCAGUGAAGCAGGCCUGCCUCGUUUGUGGGUGGGUUGACGGUAGCUGGAUAAGAAGCGCCGGCUAACUACGUG
rnacentral:rRNA from 1 species